GUGCCAGCCACCGCGGUUAUACGAGAGGCCCAAGUUGAUAGACGCCGGCGCAAAGAGUGGUUAGGUAACCUGACAAACUAAAGCCGAACGCCCCCAAGACUGUUAUACGUGCUCGGAGGUAUGAAGCCCAACUACGAAAGUGGCUUUAACUAUGUCUGAACCCACGAAAGCUGUGAAACAAACUGGGAUUAGAUACCCCACUAUG
rnacentral:rRNA from 1 species